rnacentral:rRNA from 1 species
CAGUAGCCGCGGGAAAACGUAGGGUGCGAGCGUUAAUCGGAAUUACUGGGCGUAAAGCGUGCGCAGGCGGUUUUGUAAGACAGGCGUGAAAUCCCCGGGCUCAACCUGGGAAUGGCGCUUGUGACUGCAAAGCUAGAGUGCGGUAGAGGGGGAUGGAAUUCCGCGUGUAGCAGUGAAAUGCGUAGAUAUGCGGAGGAACACCGAUGGCGAAGGCAAUCCCCUGGGCCUGCACUGACGCUCAUGCACGAAAGCGUGGGGAGCAAAUGGGAUUAGAUACCCGAGUAGUCCCUGUCUCUUAUAC